GACGGGGCCCGCACAAGCAGCGGAGCGUGUGGUUUAAUUCGAUGCAACGCGAAGAACCUUACCAGGGCUUGACAUGCUUGAAGUAGAAACUCGAAAGAGGGACGACCUGUAUCCAAUCAGGAGCUUGCACAGGUGCUGCAUGGCUGUCGUCAGCUCGUGCCGUGAGGUGUUAGGUUAAGUCCUGCAACGAGCGCAACCCUCGUCGCUAGUUAAUUUUUCUAGCGAUACUGCCCGUAUAACGCGGAGGAAGGUGGGAUGACGUCAAGUCAGCAUGGCCCUUACGUCCUGGGCUACACACACGCUACAAUGGGUGAUACAAAAGGUUGCAAUAGAGUGAUCUGGAGCUAAUCCUGAAAAUCAUCCUCAGUUCGGAUUGUAGGCUGAAACUGCCUGCAUGAAGUUGGAGUUGCUAGUAACCGCAGGUCAGCACACUGCGGUGAAUACGUUCCCGGGGCUU
rnacentral:rRNA from 1 species